rnacentral:rRNA from 1 species
GAUGAACGCUGGCGGCGUGCUUAACACAUGCAAGUCGAACGAUGAAGCCCAGCUUGCUGGGUGGAUUAGUGGCGAACGGGUGAGUAACACGUGAGUAACCUGCCCUUAACUCUGGGAUAAGCCUGGGACACUGGGUCUAAUACCGGAUAGGAGCGUCCACCGCAUGGUGGGUGUUGGAAAGAUUUAUCGGUUUUGGAUGGACUCGCGGCCUAUCAGCUUGUUGGUGAGGUAAUGGCUCACCAAGGCGACGACGGGUAGCCGGCCUGAGAGGGUGACCGGCCACACUGGGACUGUGACACGGCCCAGACUCCUACGGGAGGCAGCAGUGGGGAAUAGUGCACGAUGGGCGCAAGCCUGGUGCAGCGACGCCGCGUGAGGGAUGACGGCCUUCGGGUUGUAAACCUCUUUCAGUGGGGAAGAAGCGAAAGUGACGGUACCUGCAGAAGAAGCACCGGCUAACUACGUG